rnacentral:rRNA from 1 species
ACCAGACUCCUACGGGAGGCAGCAGUGGGGGAUAUUGCACAAUGGGGGGAACCCUGAUGCAGCGACGCCGCGUGGGUGAAGAAGCGCCUCGGCGCGUAAAGCCCUGUCAGCAGGGAAGAAAAUGACGGUACCUGAAGAAGAAGCCCCGGCUAACUACGUGCCAGCAGCCGCGGUAAUACGUAGGGGGCAAGCGUUAUCCGGAUUUACUGGGUGUAAAGGGGGCGCAGACGGCGAUGCAAGCCAGGAGUGAAAGCCCGGGGCCCAGCCCCGGGACUGCUCUUGGAACUGCGUGGCUGGAGUGCAGGAGGGGCAGGCGGAAUUCCUGGUGUAGCGGUGAAAUGCGUAGAUAUCAGGAGGAACACCGGUGGCGAAGGCGGCCUGCUGGACUGCAACUGACGUUGAGGCCCGAAAGCGUGGGGAGCAAACAGGAUUAGAUACCCCCGUA